rnacentral:rRNA from 1 species
GUGACGACCGUGCCAGGGGCCGGGGGAAUACGUUGCGGCCAACCGUUAUGCGGAAUUACUGGGCUUAAAGUGGUUGGAGGGGGGGCUGGUAGUCGGGUGUGAAAUCCCACGGCGCAACCGGGGAACUGCGUCGGAUACUGCAGUGGUUGAGGGAGACAGAGGUAAGCGGAACUGAUGGUGGAGCGGUGAAAUGCGUUGAUAUCAUCAGGAACACCGGUGGCGAAAGCGGCUUACUGGGUCUCUUCUGACGCUGAGAAACGAAAGCUAGGGUAGCGAAGGGGAUUAGAUACCCGAGUAGUC